UUCUAUUCUGUGCUAUUCUUUAUAGUGAGUUGAAUUCCAUUUUGUGUUCUAUUUUGUUCUAUUCAUCUGUUCUAUUCUAUUGUGUUUUAUUCUAUUCAGUUUUUAUGGCAUGUUAAGUUCUAUUCUGUGCUAUUCUUUAUAGUGAGUUGAAUUCCAUUUUGUGUUCUAUUUUGUUCUAUUCAUUUGUUCUAUUCUAUUGUGUUUUAUUCUAUUCAGUUUUUUAUGGCAUGUUAAGUUCUAUUCUGUGCUAUUCUUUAAAGUGAGUUGAAUUCCAUUUUGUGUUCUAUUUUGUUCUAUUCAUCUGUUCUAUUAUAUUGUGUUUUAUUCUAUUCAGUUUUUUUAUGGCAUGUUAAGUUCUAUUCUGUGCUAUUCUUUAUAGUGAGUUGAAUUCCAUUUUGUGUUCUAUUUUGCUCUAUUCAUCUGUUCUAUUCUAUUGUGUUUUAUUCUAUUCAGUUUUUUAUGACAUGUUAAGUUCUAUUCUGUGCUAUUCUUUAUAGUGAGUUGAAUUCCAUUUUGUGUUCUAUUUUGUUCUAAUUAUAUGUUCUAUUCUAUUGUGUUUUAUUCUAUUCAGUUUUUUAUGGCAUGUUAAGUUCUAUUCUGUGCUAUUCUUUAUAGUGAGUUGAAUUCCAUUUUGUGUUCUAUUUUAUUCUCUUCUCGUGUGUUGGGUUCUAUUCUACUGUGUUUUAUUCUAUUGUGUUGAGUUAUAUUUUAUUCUAUUCUUUUCCUUUGUGGUGAGGUUAAUUCUUUUCUCUAUUUUGUUUUUGUUCUUUUGUGGAGUGUUGAAUUCCAAUUUGUGUUCUGUUAUAAUUUGUUCUCUUCUGGUAUGUUGAGUUCUAUUGUGUUGAAUUGUGGUCUUUUGUGGUAUGUCGAAAUCUGUAUAAUUCUAUUUUUUCUGUUCUGUUAUUCUGUUAUGAGUUGAGCUCUAUUUAAUUCUGUGUUCUUUUCUAGUCUGCUCUUUUAUGGUGUGGUAAAUUCUGUUCUAUAGUGUUUUAUUAUAUUUAGAUCAUUUAUGGUGUGUUAAGUUCUAUUCCAUUGUGUCUAGUCUAUUCUUCUGUAGCUAAAUUCAUUCUGUGUUCUGCUCCAUUUUUUCUUGUGUGUUGAGUUCUGUUCUAUUGUUUUAUUCUAUUCUGUUGCUGUGGUGUGUUAAGUUCUAUUCUGUUGUGUUGAGUUGUUUUCUAUUCUGUUUUCUAUUCUAUUUUGUUCUAUUCAUCGGUUCUAUUCUAUUGUGUUUUAUUCUAUUCAGUUUUUUCAUUGCAUGUUAAGUUCUAUUCUAUGCUAUUCUUUAUGGUGAGUUGAAUUCCAUUUUGUGUUCAGUUUUUUUUUUCUUUUCUGGUGCAUUGCGUUCUAUUCUAUGUCGAGUUAUAUUCUAUUGUAUUUUAUUCUAAUGUGUUGAGAAUGUAUUUUAUUCUAUUCUUUUCCUUUGUGGUGAGGUAAAUUAUUUUCUCUAUUCUGUUUUGUUCUUUUGAGGUGUGUUGAAUUUUAUUGUAUUAUGUUAAGUUUAAUUUGAUCCUAUCCUACUCUAUUGAGUUGUUUUCUAAUCUGUUCUUCUGUCUAUUGUGCUGAAUUGUGUUCUAUUCUAUGUGAUGUUCUAUUCUAGUCUUUUGUAGUGUGUCAAAAUCUGUACUAUUCUAUUUUUUUUGUUCUGUUAUUCUGUUAUGAGUUGAGUUCUAUUUAAUUCCAUGUUCUUUUCUAGUCUGUUCUUUUAUGGUGAAAUAAAUUCUGUUCUAUGGUGUUUUAUUAUAUUCAGUUUAUUUAUGGUGUGUUAAGUUGUAUUCCAAUGUGUUAUGUGCUAUUCUAUUCUAUUCUAUUCUAUUCUAUUCUAUUCUAUUGUAGCUAAAUUCAUUCUGUGUUUGCUCCAUUUUUUCUGGUGUGUUGCGUUCUAUUCGAUUGUUUUAUUCUAUUCUGUUUCUAUAUUGUGAUAAGUUCUAUUCUAUUGUGUUCUAUUCUAGUGUGUUGAGCAGUGUUUUUUAUUGUAUUCUUUUCUUUUGUGGUGAGGUAAAUUCUAUUCUCUGUAUUGUUCUUUUGUGGUGUGUUGUUCUAUUGUAUUGUGUCAAGUUUAAUUCUAUCCUAUCCUAUUCAGUUGAGUUCUAAUCUGUUAUUCUGUGGUGUGUUAGUUUGUGUUCUAUUCUAUGUUCUGUUCUAUUCUGUUUUAUGUGGUAUGUCAAGAUCUGUUCUAUUCCAUUUUUUCUGUUCUGUUCUUCUGUGAUGAGUUGAGUUCUAGUCUGUUCUUUUAUGGUGUGCUAAAUUUUGUUCUAUUGUGUUUUAUUAUAUUGUUGAAUUAUAUUCUAUGUUCUGUUCAGGUCUUCUGUGGUGUGUUGAUAAUUAUAUUUUGUUGAGUUGUGUUUUAUUCUUUUGUGGUGAGUUGAAUUUUAUAUUAUGUUCUAUUCUGUUCUUUUGUGGUGUGUUGGGUUCUGUUCUACUAAGUUCUUGUAACGCUGUGGUAAGCACGCAUGAAGACAAAGAUUAAAGUAGAGAGUCGAACAUAAUGAGAGACAGGUGCAAAUCAUAAGUAACCAUAGAAACAAACGAGGACAUAAUCAGUAACCAAGGAACCCGAAACUAAACAGAACGGGGAAACAGGAACCAAUGGAAACAAAACAGAAUAUUAAUGAAAGUGUCCAUAACGUGACAGGUCUAUUUAAUUCUGUUGAAUUCUAUUCGGUUGUUUUCUGUUCUGUUCUAUUCUAUUCUUGUGUUAUGUUGUAUUUAGAUCUGUUAAGUUGUGUUAUAUUCUAUUUGUUCUAUUAUGUUGUGUUUUUGUUCAAUUGUAUUCUAUUCUAUCCUGUUUUGUUCUAUUCUAUUCUUUAUGGCAUAUCACUGGUCAACUAAAAUGAAUUUUCUGCCAAAACUAUAGUACAUGGACAAGCGAUACAUUUUACAGCAAUAAUGUUUGGAAGAUUAUAAAUUAUGAAAUAUUAUAAAAUAUUUAUAGGAAUUGUCCUGGCGGACCUCAGCCCUCAACAAAUCAUAUCUUCCUUUUCCAGGUUGCCUAUGCCUAUGACGCAGGACGUUUCUGCCAGGAAAAUCAAAAGGAUCUGACGUUUACACUCGCUCCUGAGAGCUUCUCCUUCCUACACAUGAAAUGAAUACAAGAAUACAGAAUGAAAAAGAACUUUGCAGAGCUUCGUUGAUGGACUGUCCAGAGAUUUCCGAAUGCCAUUGGUCCAGGGUUUCCUUGAGACGUGCCCAUAUGACAGGGAGAACAUGUUGUACCAGUGGACAAAUUUGGACUGUACAUGACUGCUAAAACAUUUG